AGCUGAGCUGCAACCUUCCUGGGCCACCCACGCUCUACCUGCUUCUGCUCCUCAGACUCCCCACAACCACCUCUUUGAGGAGAUGUUCAAGUUCGUCCCACCCUCGCAGACUCUAGUGCGGGGCCUGGUACCAAGCGGGAGACAGCUGGCCUUGGGUACCCCUAGGGCCUCCCAUCAAUGCUGGGCAGGCCGGGGCCUGGGGCUGGCCAACCGAUGGAGAACUCUGGAGUGACUGACAGAGGCUCCCACCCAUCCCUAGAGACUUGCUGACUCACCGGGCCUCCUAACAGACAGACCAGCCUACUGAUGGGACUGGGGGGCACCCCUGAUGGCCUAGACUACAGGCAGGCAGUCAUGGGUUGAAAACUGACUGGCCGUUUGGCAGACUGAUCACCGAAAUCUGAUCAACACUCCCCUCCCCGGCUCAAGGAAUUGGCUCAGCCUCUACAUACUGCUGUUGGUUUCACCUCCCCCAUGGCCAGGAGGAGGCACACUUCUUUUUCUGGAGUUGGGAUGUUCAGGAGAGGGAAAGCUGUACCCUCUUCUCCAAGGAGACUCUGCCACCAGUCCCAGAGCAUGAAUCUCACCUCCAGCCUUGACUGGCUUCAUGUCUGAGAAAGUUGCUUAACUCAUCUCCAGGGUGCAGAGGACUCAGACCUGCAUCCUCUUAGAUCCAGCAGAUCUGCAAAUCUUGGGUUUCAGGGCUGAGGACUGAUGGACUGGAGUUGGGCUAUGGCCAGGGGUCACUUAGUCCAUACCCACCACUGAUAUGAGCCACCCAGCCCUGCACCAGGUGGGCACUCCUCCUUUGGUCCUGAGAAAGGCUGACU